rnacentral:lncRNA from 1 species
AAGAAAGGAUCAUUUUCAUAACUUUUGAAACAGUUCAAUAUUAAAUGGUGACAUAUCGUAUUUCAUGAAUGGUCUAAUCAUCAACAUUAUUUUUCAAAAACGCUCAAACUUUUGUCUUUUGAUGAAAAAGAGCAAAAUAUAAAAUAAUUUAUUUUCAUCAAAUUAUAUAACCAUGCAGCUCUUUUGGGCGAUCAGCUUUUACGAAAUUGGCG